UGGGGAAUCUUGCACAAUGGGGGCAACCCUGAUGCAGCGACGCCGCGUGAGCGAUGAAGCCCUUCGGGGCGUAAAGCUCUUUCGACCGGAACGAUAAUGACGGUACCGGGAGAAGAAGUUGCGGCUAGCUACGUGCCAGCAGCCGCGGUAAUACGUAGGCAGCAAGCGUUGUUCGGAGUUACUGGGCGUAAAGAGUGCGUAGGCGGUUUUCUAAGUUCGGUGUGAAAUCUCCCGGCUUAACUGGGAGGGUGCGCCGAAGACUGGGAAGCUGGAGUGUGGGAAAGGCAGGCGGAAUUCCUGGUGUAGCGGUGAAAUGCGUAGAUAUCAGGAGGAACACCGGCGGUGUAGACGGCUUGCUAGACCAUAACUGACGCUGAGGCACGAAAGCGUGGGUAGCAAACA
rnacentral:rRNA from 1 species